rnacentral:misc_RNA from 1 species
AAGUCGUAACAAGGUUUCCGUAGGUGAACCUGCGGAAGGAUCAUUAACACUUUUAUUAACACUAAUAAACAAACUUCUGUGCACUGUUUUCAUCACUAAAAACAAUCAAAUCGCACAUGUGAUACUAGAGUCUCGUUUUCCGAGUUUUGGUAUCACUUGUACGUAAAAAGCAUCUGAAAGCAAAGUGGAGGCGUUUCGACGUUUCUUCUUUGUUUUUCGAUGCUUUUCUUUUUUUCUUUUUAAACACCAAUUCUAACAUAUCAUAUUUAACAUCGUGGUACAUUUCAUUUCAAUUCACUGAAUUGAACUGAAUCGUACUAACGUAACUGUUAAUUCAAACACAAGUCUUACCAGCGGAUAUCUCGGUUCCC